rnacentral:rRNA from 1 species
UACCUACGGGGCGCAGCAGUAGGGAAUCUUCCACAAUGGACGAAAGUCUGAUGGAGCAACGCCGCGUGAGUGAAGAAGGGUUUCGGCUCGUAAAGCUCUGGUGGGAGGGAAGAAAGAUAGAGGUAGUAACUGGCCUUUAUUUGACGGUAAUUACUUAGAAAGUCACGGCUAACUACGUGCCAGCAGCCGCGGGAAUACGUAGGUGGCAAGCGUUGUCCGGAUUUAUUGGGGGUAAAGCGAGCGCAGGAGGU